ACGGGAGGCAGCAGUGAGGAAUAUUGGUCAAUGGACGAGAGUCUGAACCAGCCAAGUAGCGUGCAGGAUGACGGCCCUAUGGGUUGUAAACUGCUUUUGUACGGGAAUAAAGUGACCUACGUGUAGGUUUUUGCAUGUACCGUAAGAAUAAGGACCGGCUAAUUCCGUGCCAGCAGCCGCGGUAAUACGGAAGGUCCGGGCGUUAUCCGGAUUUAUUGGGUUUAAAGGGAGCGUAGGCGGAAGGUCAAGUCAGCUGUGAAAUGUAGUCGCUCAACGUCUGCACUGCAGUUGAAACUGGCCUCCUUGAGUGCGUAAGAGGCAGGCGGAAUUCGUCGUGUAGCGGUGAAAUGCUUAGAUAUGACGAAGAACUCCUAUUGCGAAGGCAGCUUGCUGGGCCGCAACUGACGCUGAAGCUCGAAGGUGCGGGUAUCGAACAGGAUUAGAUACCCUGGUA
rnacentral:rRNA from 1 species